UUUUGUGUAUGGUGUUAGGGAGUGUUCUGAUUUCAUUCUUUUACAUGUAGCUGUCCAGUUUUCCCAGCACCACUUAUUGAAGAGGUUGUCUUUUCUCCAUUGUAUAUCCUUGCCUCUUUUGUCAUAGAUUAGUUGACCAUAGGUGCAUGAGUUUAUCUCUGGGCUUUCUAUCCUGUUCCAUUUUUCUGUAUUUCUGAUUUUGUGCCAGUACCACAUUGUCUUGAUUACUGUAGCUUGUAGUAUAGUCUGAAGUCAGGGAGUCUGAUUCCUCCAGCUCCGUUUUUUUCCCUCAAGACUGCUUUGACUAUUUGGGGUCUUUUUUGUCUCCAUACAAAUUUUAAGGUUUUUUUUGUUCUAGUUCCAUAAAAAAUGCCAUUGGUAAUUUGAUAGGGAUUGCAUUGAAUCUGUAGAUUGCUUUGGGUAGUAUAGUCAUUUUCACAAUAUUGAUUCUUCUAAUCCAAGAACAUGGUAUAUCUCUCCAUCUGUUUGUAUCACCUUUAAUUUCUUUCAUCAGUGUCUUAUAGUCUUCUGCAUACAGGUCUCUUGUCUCCCUACUUAGGUUUAUUCCUAGGUAUUUUAUUCUUUUUGUUGCAGUGGUAAAUGGGAUUGUUUCCUUAAUUUCUCUUUCAGAUUUUUCAUCAUUAGUGUAUAGGAAUGCAAGAGAUUUCUGUGCAUUAAUUUUGCAUCCUGCAACUUUACCGAAUUCAUUGAUUAGCUGUAGUAGUUUUCUGGUGGCAUCUUUAGGAUUCUCUAUGUAUAGUAUCAUGUCAUCUGCAAACAGUGACAGUUUUACUUCUUCUUCUCCAAUUCGUAUUCCUUUUAUUUCUUUUUCUACUCUGAUUGCCAUGGCUAGGAGUUCCAAAACUAUGUUGAACAACAGUGGUGAGAGUGGACAUCCUUGUCUUGUUCCUGAUCUGAGAGGAAAUGCUUUCAGUUUUUCACCAUUGAGAAUGAUGUUGCUCUGGGUUUGUCGUAUAUGGCCUUUAUUAUGUUGAGGUAGGUUUCCUCUAUGCCCACUUUCUGGAGAGUAUUUAUCAUAAAUGCGUGUUGAAUUUUGUCAAAAGCUUUUUCUGCAUCUAUUGAGAUGAUCAUAUGGUUUUUAUUCCUCAGUUUGUGAAUAUGGUGUAUCACAUUGAUUGAUUUGCGUAUAUUGAAGAAUCCUUGCAUCCCUGAGAUAAAUCCCACUUGAUCACGGUGUACGAUCCUUUUAAUGUGUUAUUGGAUCCUGUUUGGUAUUAUCUGGCUGAGGAUUUUUGCAUCUAUAUUCAGCAGUGAUAUUGGUCUGUAAUUUCCUUUUUUUGUAGUAUCUUUGUCUGGUUUUGGUAUCAGGAUGAUGGUGGCCUCAUAGAAUGAGUUUGCGAGUGUUCCUUCCUCUGCAAUAUUUUGGAAGAGUUUGAGAAGGAUGGGUGUUAGUACUUCUCUAAAUGUUUGACAGAAUUCACCUGUGAAGCCAUCUGGUCCUGGAAUUUUGUUUGCUGGAAGAUUUUAAAUCACAGUUUCAAUUUCAUUACUUGUGAUUGAUCUGUUUAUAUUUUCUAUUUCUUACUGGUUCAGUCUUGGAAGGUUAUACCUGUCUAAGAGUUUGUCCAUUUCUUCCAGUUUGUCCAUUUUAUUGGCAUAGAGUUGCUUGUAGUAGUCUCUUAUGAUGCUUUGUAUUUCUGCGUUGUCUGUUGUAACAUCUCCUUUUUUAUUUCUAAUUUUAUUGAUUUGAGUCCUCUCCCUCUUUUUCUUGAUGAGUCUGGUUUAUCAAUUUUGUUUAUCUUCUCAAAGACCCAGCAAUUAGUUUUAUUGAUCAUUGCUAUUGUUUUCUUUGUUUCUAUUUCAUUUAUUUCUGCUCUGAUCUUUAUGAUUUCUUUGAUUCUCCUAACUUUGGGUUUGUUUGUUGUUCUUUCUCCAGUUCCUUUAGGUGUAUGUUAGAUUGUUUAUUUGGGAUUUUUUUUUUUCUUGAGGUAGGCUUGUAUUGCUAUAAAAUUCCCUCUUAGAACUGCUUUUGCUGUAUCCCAUAGGUUUGGGAUCGUCCUGUUUUCAUUGUCAUUUGUCUCUAGGUGUUUUUUGAUUUCCUCUUUGAUUUCUUCAGUGAUCUCUUGGUUAUUUAGUAACGUAUUGUUUAGCCUCCAUGUGUUUGUGUUUUUUACGUUUUUUUCCCUUUGAUUUCUAAUCCCAUAGUGUUGUGGUCAGAAAAGAUGCCUGAUAUGAUUUCAGUUUUCUUAAAUUUACUGAGGCUUGAUUUGUGACCCAAGAUGUGAUCUAUCCUGGAGAAUGUUUCAUGUGCAGUUGAGAAGAAAGUAUAAUCUGCUGUUUUGGGAUGGAAUGUCCUAUAAAUAUCAAUUAAAUCUAUCUGGUCUGUUGUGUCAUUUAAAGCUUGUGUUUCCUUAUUAAUUUUCUGUUUGGAUGAUCUGUCCAUUGGUGUAAGUGAGGUGUUAAAGUCCCCCACUAUUACUGUGUUACUAUCGAUUUCCUCUUUUAUAGCUGUUAGCAGUUGCCUUAUGUAUUGAGGUGCUCCUAUGUUGGGUGCAUAUAGUAUUUAUAAUUGUUAUAUCUUCUUCUUGGAUUGAUCCCUUGAUCAUUAUGUAAUGUCCUUCCUUGUCUCUUGUAACAUUCUUUAUUUUAAAGUCUAUUUUAUCUGAUAUGAGUAUUGCAACUCCAGCUUUCUUUUGAUUUCCAUUUGCAUGGAAUAUCUUUUUCCAUCCCCUCACUUUCAGUCUGUAUGUGUCUCUAGGUCUGAAGUGGGUCUCUUGUAGACAGCAUAUAGAUGGAUCUUGUUUUUGUAUCCAUUCAGCGAACCUGCGUCUUUUGGUUGGAGCAUUUAAUCCAUUCACAUUUAAGGUAAUUAUCGAUAUGUAUGUUCCUAUUACCAUUUUCUUAAUUGUUUUGGGUUUGUUUUUGUAGGUCCUUUUCUUCUCUUGUGUUUCCCACUUAGAGAAGUUACUUUAGCAUUUGUUGUAGAGCUGGUUUGGUGGUGCUGAAUUCUCUUACCUUUUGCUUGUCUGUAAGGCUUUUGAUUUCUCCAUCGAAUCUGAAUGAGAUUCUUGCCAGGUAGAGUAAUCUUGGUUGUAGGUUCUUCCCUUUCAUCACUUUAAAUAUAUUGUGCCACUCCCUUCUGGCUGGUAGAGUUUCUGCUGAGAAAUCAGCUGUUAAUGUUAUGGGAGUUCCCUUGUAUGUUAUUUGUUGUUUUUCCCUUGUUGCUUUCAUUAAUUUUUCUUUGUCUUUAAUUUUUGUCAAUUUGAUUACUAUGUGUCUCGGCAUGUUUCUCCUUGGGUUUAUCCUGCCUGGGACUCUCUGUGCUUCCUGGACUCGGGUGGCUAUUUUGUUUCCCAUGUUAGGGAAGUUUUCGACUAUAAUUUCUUCAAUUAUUUUCUCGGGUCCUUUCUCUCUCUCUUCUCCUUCUGGGACCCCUAUAAUGCGAAUGUUGUUGCAUUUAAUGUUGUCCCAGAGGUCUCUUCGGCUGUCUUCAUUUGUUUUCAUUCUUUUUUCUUUAUUCUGUUCCACGGCAGUGAAUUUCACCAUUCUGUCUUCCAGGUCACUUAUCCGUUUUUCUGCCUCAAUUAUUCUGAUAUUGGUUCCUUCUAGUGUAUUUUUCAUUUCAGUUAUUGUAUUGUUCAUCUCUGUUUGUUAUUUAAUUCUUCUAGGUGUUUGUUCUUUAAUUCUUCUAAGUCUUUGUUAAACAUUUCUUGCAUCUUCUCGAUCUUUGCUUCCAUUCUUUUUCUGAGGUCCUGGAUCAUCUUCACUGUCAUUCUUCUGAAUUCUUUUUCUGGAAGGUUUUCUAUCUCCACUUUAUUUAGUUGUUUUUCUGGUGUUUUAUCUUGUUCCUUCAUCUGGUACAUAGCCCUCUGCCUUUUCAUCUUGUCUGCCUUUCUGUGAUUGUGUUUUUUGUUCCACAGGCUGCAGGAUUGUAGUUCUUCUUGCUUCUGCUGUCUGCCCUUUGCAAUUCUAUAUUUUUUAAUUCAACAUUAUACAGUGAGCAUUCCACCAUAUCACUAAAUAUUCAUUUAAAGACACAACUUCAAUGGCUGCAAAUUAGUUCAUUGUAGGAGUAAUUCUUUGGUUUAUAUAACUACUCACCUUUUAAACAUUUAGAUAACAAUUUCUUGCUCUUACAGAAAAUGCUGUGAUGAAGUACAAAGUGUUUCUAAACCAAAGCAUUUUUUGAUUUAUUUUCUUCAUGGUAGGGUUUUUUUUUUUUUUUUUUUUUUGCGGUAUGCGGGCCUCUCACUGUUGUGGCCUCUCCCGUUGCGGAGCACAGGCUCCGGACGCGCAGGCUCAGUGGCCAUGGCUCACGGGCCUAGCUGCUCCGCGGCAUGUGGGAUCUUCCAGGACCGGGGCACGAACCCGUGUCCCCUGCAUCGGCAGGCGGACUCUCAACCACUGCACCACCAGGGAAGCCCUUCAUGGUAGUUUUAGUGGGUUAAUCAGUCCUUUUGUUGCUAGAGCAGCUAAAAUCUUUAAGGAUAGAAUAAAAGCUUUUAACUUAUUUCAAUUUUUUGAUACUCUUCAUGUUAAUUUGUCUUAGUCCUUUCCCUGGCUCUGUAGGGUUCUAGUAGGGAAAUGUAACACAAUUUAGCAAUCCAUUCUACAGUAGAUGGGCACUUGGAUUGUCUCAAAUAUUUGCUCUUGUAAACAGGGCUGCUGUGUGUGUGUUGCUGUUUACUAGUAGGAGAGCUUCCUGACAGCUCCAGCUCUUUUAGCUCCAACCACCAAUAGCCAGUUAUGUGACUGAACAAGUUAUAUCACCUUUCUGAGUCUCAACUUACAUCAACUACAAAAUGGAGCCAACAGAGGCGUUGAAAUCUAAGUUAUGAGGAUGCUUGCAGGAAUGAGCUCCAGCCUUUGUGAUUGUCCUUCAGACGAUGAGUGGACUUCAGUCAUUAGUGGUCCAAGUCACUCCAUUUUCACCAGGACUGAGGCACGGAAAAUCAAUAGUAGGAUCAUUUAAUAAUGCUUCAAAGACUUGAAAAAAGCCUGUGAAGAGAGGUUUAAACCCAAAUAAAGAAACUCCAGAGCUAUGAAUAAAAUGUUUAUGAACAAAGAGAAAGGUGCCUAUGAAAUACAUGAAAUAUAAAAACAUGAAUCCAUUCAGAGGAAGCAUCUCCUUAGAAUGAGAAGAACAUUUUAUCGUUUUUAACUUUUCUUCGGUCUUGGGUCCAAAAUUCAUCCUAAUCAUUGAAAAUUGCUGUACUUUUUAUACAAUAGGAGUGUUUAUGAGGAGCUACAUAAAAAUAUGAAUAGGAACUUCUGUCCAUGUUGAGAACCACCUUACAUUCCUUACUCAAUGGACUAACAAAGACAAAGCAGCCCAACUAAGAGUGAAAUAAUUUAAGCAACUGUGCAAAUUUGCAAGAAAGCGUGGCCAACAGAAAGCCUUCAUCCUCUGUAUUUACAUUGGUACCAAUCUUAACGUCAUGCUGUUAACUCAACAUAAAGCUAUGCUUUUUAAAACAAUUCAAGGGCAUCCAAUUUAUAACCAAUCAUGUUCCAGACCUAUAAAAUAUUUCAGUAACAAUCCAAACUGGCAUAUAAGUUAAAGCUCACUCUGGGCAGCUUAAAUUUACAUGAUCAGCCUGGGACUGGCUCAUCCCAUCGCAUAGGAUCGCACGACCUCACAGUCAAGUGCAAUUCACAUCUCACGAUUCUAGGAAUCGAUGGACAUGGAUACACAGUUAUAUUAUUAUUAAAUCCAAUUGCUUUGCAAUUAACCUGAUAUGACACCUAUACAAAUGAUUCAAAUAAAGAGCCUCAUGUUUCACAGGAGACAAUCAAUAAAGUGAAAUCACAGCUACUGACAAUGCCAGCAAUUUGGCUUGUUACUAUAGUAUUAUAUUUUUCUCAGAUAGAGGUUGCUGUUCCCCUGUUGAAUCACAGCUACCAUAACCUUCAACUACUGGCAAUGCCCAUGCCUCACAAAGGCGUAACAUUCAAAUAUGUUUGGACAUUCCUAACCCAUCUUUGCUGAGUCAUGAAAAGUUACAAUCAAUCUGGGAUGUACUAAAUCAUAAAUUUUCUUUCUUUGCUCCCAGAAUGGAAUUAGAGCUUCUUUCCCCAGGAAAGACUCCUUAAUGGUGAAAAAGAAAAUAGUUGCCUUCGUUGAUAGAUAGCAUACGUUCUUAGGGAAAAAAAAAAAUCUUACUCUUCCUCUUGCACAAAUGUUUUGCAAUUAGCUGUCUGAAAGCAAAACCAAAUCAUAAUAGCAUCUUUCCCAGUUAUUAUUAUGGUUAUUAUUCUGUAGCUUAAUAAUCUACAUUUUAAUUAAGUAAAAGCACUUCAUAGUUAUAACCCUGAUCUAAAUCAACCUUUUGCAGAAAUAUUACAACCCUCUUAUUAUCAGAAAUAUUACAACCCUCUUAUUAUCACCCUUUUUUGGCAGAUUUUGUCAGUGUGUGUGUCUGCCAGACAACUGGGUGUAGAGAAUCAACCUCUUGAGGGCAGAGACUGUGUAUGUCCUUCUGAGAUCUAACAGACUCAUGCACAGACAUUCCAUAGGUGUUUGUUGACAGCCUAUUUGAGUAGUGCCUUGUUAAGACCUCAUAACUCCUUAUUUUAAGUAGACUGAACUUGACCUUAUGGAAUAUUUAGGACAGGCACUGACCAAAAAAUAUAUUUCUUUUUCCAUGUCUCUCUUUAUAUACUUGUUUUCAAACAGAGACCAGUCAGGUCAGGGUGUGUUUCCAUGAGGUCACUUUCAUCUCCUGAAAUAGGGAGAAUAGAACAGUAAGUAUGGAAGAUGUGUCUCUCUUUAAACAACCACUGUGGAUGAUUGAAAACAAUGACUUAUUUAAUUCUCUAAGCAGAGUCUGUUCUCCAUGAAUCACACUGUAUACAUAAUGGUGAUGAAAAUGUUCAGUUUGAAAUUUCUCCCUGGCCAGGGAGGAAACCAUGGGGGUGAAUCAUGGUUUUAGUGAUGACCGUCCUGAGGAAGCUAAAUUGGGAAGCCACAGGUUAAAAAAGGAGUGGGGAGGGAAUCCUUAAUCCGAGAAGGCAACUGACGCCCCCUUCCGCUGCUUACACCCAGGCAAGAAUCUUCAGAAGAAGAGUUCCUGGAGAGAAACUCUGAAAGCAGAGGAAACCAAACACACUGUACAUGUAGAGUUACCCAUGGACUGGGAAAAGACACAGGACUUCUCCUUGAGGGAAGGGAGAUAAAUGGCUGCCUGUUUGAGGAACACAACUGCAUGCAUUCACUCCUGUGAAAGAAAUUCAUUUAAGAGCAAUUGGGUUAGAAAUGGAGAUUUAGGGCUUCCCUGGUGGCGCAGUGGUUAAGAAUCCGCCUGCCAAUGCAGGGGACUCAGGUUCAAGCCCUGGUCUGGGAAGAUCCCACAUGCCGCGGAGCGCCUAAGCCCGUGCGCCACAACUACUGAGCCUGCGCGCUAGAGCCCGGGAACCACAACUACUGAGCCUGUGCGCCUAGAGCCCGUGCUCCGCAACAAGAGAAGUCACAGCAAUGAGAAGCCUGCGCACCUCAACGAACAGUAGCCCCUGCUCACCACAACUAGAGAAAGCUGUCGCGCAGCAACAAAGACCCAACGAAGACAAAAAUAAAUAAAAAUAAAUAAAUUUAAAAAAAGAAAUGGAGAUUUACACAGAUGGGUUUAAAGAAGAGGAGUGUGUAAGAGACAGUCAAGAUGUACAUCAGUCAUUUGCUGCAAAACUGUGAACAGUAUUGGCGAAUUAGGAUACAAUGUGAAGUGGAAAAAUGGGCCACUAACUUGUAAUUAAACUAUGAUUGCACUUAUGUUAAAUAUGUGUAUUAUGGACAAAGACUGAUCAGGAAUCCAGAGAAAUUAACAUAGUUAUUGCGUUAAUGUAGUGACAUUGUUUUUCAUUGUUUAAAUUGUGUGGGUGUGAAUGUGAUGGAGAGCUUGUGUAUUGAGUCUGAUAGUAAGACAGUAACACAAAGAAUCAGUAAGCGGGUGUUUAAGUUUCACAUGCCAUGCCAGCUGUGAACUUAACCUCUCCGAGCCUCAGUGCUUUUAUAUAGAAAGUGGGAAUAAUAGCACCUGCCCUGCACUAAUAGGGUAGUGAAAACACUCUGUAAAUUGAAAGUGUCAUGGGAGAUUGUGUGAGGCAUUCAGAAGAUCAGAGUACUGUAUAGACCAGAGACUUAAAAAGUCCAGAACUCAAAAAGUUAUCCCUAAUCUCUUGUCUCAGCAGUCAUGCGGGAGCUGGACAACAUGUUAUAUCAUAGUUGCACCAUGUACAAAUUACAGUCACUUAUCGGGCACCUACUAAUUGUUUUGCUAACCAGGUUUCCCAAUACCAUUUGUAGAAUAAUCCAUUUUUCUUCCAUUUGAAAUGACUUGAAAUGUUUCCUUUAUCAUAUACCUAAGUUUAUUUCUGAACUCUACUGUUUCUCUGCUUACUAUUCUGUUUUAACUUUAUAAUUGUUGUAGCUUUGUAAUAUUUUUAAUUCGGUUGGGCAACUUUUUAUGGUUUUUUAAAAAUAGUAUCCAGGGUAGAGUGGGAGCUAUUAAGGAGGAUAACCAAGCUUGGGCCCAAAGAAGUAAGUAAACAGCCCAAGGGUGCAUAGCAUAGUCUUAGAAGAGACUUUGGAAUCAGAGAAAGCUUAGUUCAAAUCCUGGUUUAUUACUUAACAUCUGGGUGACCUAAUAUACAUUACUUAAUCUGUCUAGCCUCUUUCUUCAUCUGUAAAUGGAGGAUAACACCACCUACCUUGGAGUGUUGCGCUGGGGAUUCAAUUACAAGUGAAUUGAAUUUCCCGAAUACUGUGGCUGGCAGGCAGCCCUCCUUUACAUGCACUCCUGGUGGUGAGGAAUGGCUUCCCUUUCUUAGAUUUUUUUGCAUCUGCAAAAAGGAGAAGAGCCAGGAAUUAUCACCACCUUCUACACAGCAUUCUGAAGGCUGGUUUCACUGUACAGAGAUAUAUGAUAACUGUAUAGUAAGGAAACAGGGCACUUAAACUGUACAUAUGUAUUUGCUGCUCCCUGAAUAUGGUAAAGCAGGAGACACUGUGUGUCAUAUAAUCCAUAAAAUGCACUCUCGUUAUGCGGCCGAGAACAUGGGAUGUCAAACAGGUAGGAAUGCCAGGCAGUACGUUCCUGUCAGACCUUGAGGUAAGCGGAGAGCAGGGGGGAGGGGACAUUGCUGAGACUGGAUAGGGAACCUGGGAAAAAUAACAGGGCCUCUCUCUUCUGCUCUGACAAGUUUAGAUUUUAAGUGAUUUGGGGGCAGAGAUCAUAUCUAUUACCUCGUUUUUUGGUAGUUUCUAGAAGAUUAUUGGAUAUUUAUGACAUUUGGUGAUUAGAGUGAAGAGAUGUCGCAUAGGGCCUCAUAGUAACCCUCUGCCUCCGAGAGUGGCCAAGACGACUUUUGUGGGAAGCUGCUUUCUUCUCUCCCUUGGAAGAGACGGAUGGAGUCUGAUUAUAAUUAAUUUUAAUAAAGACCCUACAUGACGUGCUAGAAUUCUGGCCAUUCAAAUGAAGUAGAGCCAGCCAGCCAGCUUGGACAAAAAUCAUCUCAGUUCCCCCUCACUAUUGGCUUUAGAACAAGUCAAGUCCCGUUAAAAAGAAUUUAUUUAUUGAGUGAUUUUUGUGCCUAGCACUAUAAAAAGGUGUACAAAAGAAGGACCCUAUCUGACAUUCACUGUCUGAGUUGGACAGACAAGAAAUGUAAUAAAAUAAUAGGCACCA